UAAUACGUAUGCCUCAAGCGUUAUCCGGAAUUACUGGGUGUAAAGGGUCUGUAGGUGGUUAAUUAAGUCAGGUAUGAAAGACCGGGGCUCAACUCCGUGUUUGUGCUUGAAACUGGUUGACUAGAAUUAGGGAGAGGUUAGCAGAAUUCUAAGUGUAGGGGUGCAAUCCGUAGAUACUUAGAGGAAUACCAAAAGCGAAGGCAGCUAACUGGAACUAUAUUGACGCUGAAAGACGAAAGCGUGGGGAGCAAAAAGG
rnacentral:rRNA from 1 species